GGAGAGGUCGCAUAGUUGGUCUAGUGCGCACGAUUGGAAAUCGUGUACUCCGCAAGGGGUCGCGGGUUCGAAUCCCGCCCUCUCCG
rnacentral:tRNA from 1 species